rnacentral:rRNA from 1 species
GAUGAACGCUAGCGGCAGGCCUAACACAUGCAAGUCGAGGGGCAUCAUGGCGUAGCAAUACGCUGAUGGCGACCGGCGCACGGGUGCGUAACGCGUAUGGAACCUACCCACCGCAGGGGGAUAACCCGCCGAAAGGCGGACUAAUACCCCAUGGUUCCCCGACCCUGCCUGGGGUUGGGGGUAAAGCCUACGGGCGGCGGUGGAUGGCCCUGCGCGCCAUUAGCUGGCUGGUGGGGUAACGGCCCACCAGGGCGACGAUGGCUAGGGGGUCUGAGAGGGUGGCCCCCCACAAUGGAACUGAAACACGGUCCAUACACCUACGGGUGGCAGCAGUAGGGAAUAUUAGUAAUGGGCGAAAGCCUGAACUAGCAACGCCGCGUGUGCGAAGAAGGCCUUCGGGUUGUAAAGCACUUUUUGAGAGGAUGAGGAAGGACGGUACUCUCAGAAUAAGUCUCGGCUAACUACGUG